rnacentral:rRNA from 1 species
UACGGGGGGAGCAAGCGUUGUUCGGAUUUACUGGGCGUAAAGGGCGCGUAGGCGGUCAGCCCAAGUCAGUUGUGAAAUCUCCGGGCUUAACUCGGAAAGGUCGACUGAUACUGUGCGACUAGAGUGCAGAAGGGGCAACUGGAAUUCUCGGUGUAGCGGUGAAAUGCGUAGAUAUCGAGAGGAACACCUGCGGCGAAGGCGGGUUGCUGGGCCGACACUGACGCUGACAGCGCGAAAGCCAGGGGAGCAAACGGG